rnacentral:rRNA from 1 species
AGAGUUUGAUCAUGGCUCAGGACGAACGCUGGCGGCGUGCUUAAUACAUGCAAGUCGAACGGAGCCUAGUCUUUAGUUUACUAUAGACGAAAGCUUAGUGGCGGACGGGUGAGUAACGCGUGGAGAAUCUGCCCUCAAGACUGGGAUAACAGAGCGAAAGUUCUGCUAAUACCGGAUAUGCUCUGAGUGUCGCAUGGCACAAAGAGGAAAGCACAAGCGCUUGAGGAUGACUCCGCGUCCCAUUAGCUAGUUGGUGAGGUAAAGGCUUACCAAGGCGACGAUGGGUAGCCGGCCUGAGAGGGUGACCGGCCACACUGGGACUGAGACACGGCCCAGACUCCUACGGGAGGCAGCAGUAGGGAAUUUUCCGCAAUGGGCGCAAGCCUGACGGAGCAACGCCGCGUGAAGGAAGAAGGCCUUCGGGUCGUAAACUUUUGUCUUUGGGGACGAUAAUGACGGUACCCGAGGAGGAAGCCCCGGCUAACUACGUGCCAGCAGCCGCGGUAAGACGUAGGGGGCGAGCGUUGUCCGGAAUCAUUGGGCGUAAAGGGCGCGUAGGCGGUGACGUAAGUCAGGCGUGAAAGGCAUCGGCUCAACCGACGCACAUAGCCUGAUACUACGUUGCUAGAGUGCAGGAGAGGAGAGUGGAAUUCCAGGUGUAGCGGUGAAAUGCGUAGAUAUCUGGAAGAACACCAGUGGCGAAGGCGGCUCUCUGGACUGUAACUGACGCUGAGGCGCGAAAGCUGGGGGAGCAAACAGGAUUAGAUACCCUGGUAGUCCCAGCCGUAAACGAUGAACACUAGGUGUAGGGGGUAUCGACCCCUCCUGUGCCGCAGUUAACGCAGUAAGUGUUCCGCCUGGGGAGUACGGCCGCAAGGCUGAAACUCAAAGGAAUUGACGGGGGCCCGCACAAGCGGUGGAGCAUGUGGUUUAAUUCGAUGCAACGCGAAGAACCUUACCGAGACUUGACAUCCCGUGACCAUCUACGAAAGUAGAGUCUAGCUUCGGCUACACGGAGACAGGUGGUGCAUGGUUGUCGUCAGCUCGUGUCGUGAGAUGUUGGGUUAAGUCCCGCAACGAGCGCAACCCUCAUCCUUAGUUGCCAGCGGGUGAUGCCGGGGACUCUAAGGAGACAGCCGGUGAAAGCCGGAGGAAGGUGGGGAUGACGUCAAAUCAUCAUGCCCUUUAUGUUUCGGGCUACACACGUGCUACAAUGGUCAGUACAGAGGGGGGCGAAGGCGCGAACCGGAGCAAAUCCCUGAAAGCUGAUCUCAGUUCGGAUUGCAGGCUGCAACCCGCCUGCAUGAAGUCGGAAUCGCUAGUAAUCGCAGGUCAGCAUACUGCGGUGAAUACGUUCCCGGGCCUUGUACACACCGCCCGUCACACCACCCGAGUUGGAUGCACCAGAAGUCAUUUGCGGAUGCCGAAGGUGUGUCUGGUAAGGGGGGUGAAGUCGUAACAAGGUAGCC